GGCCCGCGGGCGGAGGGCUGGGCUGGGCUGGGCUGGCCGCACGCCGUACCGAACUCGGCGCUCAUGUCACCUUUAAUCCUCACUAGUCUU
rnacentral:miRNA from 1 species